GCCGGGCACGGUGGCGCCUGCCUGUAAUCCCAGCUACUUGGGAGGCUGAGGCAGGAGAACCGCUUGAACCCAGGAGGCGGAGGAUGCAGUGAGCCAAAAUCGUGCCACUGCACUUCAGCCUGGGUGACAGAGCAAGACUCUGUCUCAA
ensembl:misc_RNA Metazoa_SRP Metazoan signal recognition particle RNA